rnacentral:lncRNA from 12 species
CUCAACUGUAGCUGUUUAACCUCCGGACUUCCUUUGGUUUGUUUCUGAAAAAAAGAAAGUUAAACCUAGUGCUUGUGUUUUCAGUUACAGAGUUUAUACAUAUGUUAAAGGUGUGAUCAAGGAUGCCUUUCUCCAAUGAAGGAUGCUGAAGUAAGUGUUGAUAAAACAUCCCUCAUAAAAGAGCGUUAAAAUGAAAACAGAGACAAGAGGAUGCUAAAUAGAGAAAGGAAGCUGGAUCUGGGAUUUGAUGACUGACCAUGAACAGCUGUGCACAGUGGCCACAGCAAACCCCUGUUCAGGAUCCAGGAGGAAUCCCUCACCGCCAGCCUAAGGAGAACGUCGGUGACAGCCGCCGAAAUGCCUUGAUCACACACUCCCAGCCCCUGCCCUGCCAGCAGCAGGAGGAAAGUCCAGUUUAUGUUAAUAAGGUGCCUGGAGACUGUUUCCCUGUUUCCCAGAAGGUGCUGCUAUUUGUUUCCUGCUCCAGUGGCCAAGCCCUGGCUGAGCACUGCCCACUGGACGCAGCGGGAGCAGUGGCAGCGCUCCACAUCCCGCUGGCACGCUCCCGGCGGGGCGGGUUUGCGCAAGGC